UUUUUAAGUACAGGCAGAUGUUUUCAAGGACUGUUUUGUUGUCCUCUAAUUCUGGGAUCCUGGUGAUACGGAUCUAAUGUUCUUUGGGGAUGGUAUCCUCUGUUUGUUGGAUCUUAGAGAUCAGGCACAAUACAGUGAACCCACUGCUUGUGACCAUCUCGUUGUGGAUAUCCUCUUGGCUCUUUUUCAAAUUCAAAGAUUUUAUUGUCAAAUAUACCCCCCUUGUGUAUUGAAAUUCUUAUGCUUGCCUUUUAUGGACAGCCGACCAAUUUUAAAAUAAAAAAAAUAAAAUGUACAUGAAAUAAAAAUGAGGCAAAAAUGAGGUAAGGGGAAAUGUGCAAAACUGAGCAGGUUGUAAAAAAAAAAUGAAAUGAAAUGAGUGCAAUAUAAAUUAACAGUACAGUUAAUUAAAGCCCACCAAUAAAAAAAUAUAUAUAUAUGUUUAAAUAAAUGUACAUGAAAUAAAAAUAAGGCAGAAAAGAGGUAAGUGAAAAUGUGCAAAACUGAGCAGGUUGUAAAAAAAAAUGAAAUGAAAUGAGUGCAAUAUAAAUUAACAGUACAGUUAAUUAAAGCCCACCAAUAAAAAAAAAAAUAUAUAUAUAUAUAUAUAUAUAUAUAUGUUUAAAUAAAUGUACAUGAAAUAAAAAUAAGGCAGAGAAGAGGUAAGUGAAAAUGUGCAAAACUGAGCAGGUUGUAAAAAAAAUGAAAUGAAAUGGGUGAAAUAUAAAUUAACAGUACAGUUAAUUAAAGCCGACCAAUUAAAAAAAAAAAGAUUUUCUUUUUUUAAAUAAAUGUACUUGAAAUAAAAAUAAGGCAGAAAUGACGUAAGGGAAAUG
ensembl:lncRNA